rnacentral:rRNA from 1 species
AACGAACGCUGGCGGCAUGCCUAACACAUGCAAGUCGAACGAAGCCUUCGGGCUUAGUGGCGCACGGGUGCGUAACGCGUGGGAAUCUGCCCUUGGGUUCGGAAUAACAGUUAGAAAUGACUGCUAAUACCGGAUGAUGUCUUCGGACCAAAGAUUUAUCGCCCAAGGAUGAGCCCGCGUAGGAUUAGGUAGUUGGUGGGGUAAUGGCCACCAAGCCGACGAUCCUUAGCUGGUCCGAGAGGAUGAUCAGCCACACUGGGACUGAGACACGGCCCAGACUCCUACGGGAGGCAGCAGUGGGGAAUAUUGGACAAUGGGCGAAAGCCUGAUCCAGCAAUGCCGCAUGAGUGAUGAAGGCCUUAGGGUUGUAAAGCUCUUUUACCAGGGAUGAUAAUGACAGUACCUGGAGAAUAAGCUCCGGCUAACUCCGUGCCAGCCGCCGCAGUAAGAC